AUGGACGACGCUCGCCGGGGCGUGUGCGACGGAGACGGCUUCUGCCGCGCGUCGAGGUGGAGCAGCAGAGGACGGGAAGGCAAGGAGGCAAGGUGGGUACGCUACGCACCAGGGCCGCCUUCGCCCUCCGCCUCCUCCAAAAGCGCGCGCUCGCCGCGGGCGCUGGCGGUGGCGCGGCGGUCCUCGCACGCGGGUGCGCGGGUGCGCGGAGGCGUCGGGGAUCGAGGGAGCUCUCCUCCCUAG
rnacentral:rRNA from 1 species